AACGAACGCUGGCGGCAGGCUUAACACAUGCAAGUCGAACGCGUGCAGCAAUGCACGAGUGGCGCACGGGUGAGUAACGCGUGGAUAUCUGCCUUUCGGUUCGGAAUAACCCCGGGAAACUGGGGCUAAUACCGGAUGGUUCCUACGGGAUAAAGAUUUAUCGCCAAAAGAUGAGUCCGCGUCCGAUUAGCUAGUUGGUGAGGUAAUGGCUCACCAAGGCGACGAUCGGUAGCUGGCCUGAGAGGACGAUCAGCCACACUGGGACUGAGACACGGCCCAGACUCCUACGGGAGGCAGCAGUGGGGAAUAUUGGACAAUGGGGGCAACCCUGAUCCAGCCAUGCCGCGUGAGUGAUGAAGGCCUUCGGGUUGUAAAGCUCUUUUGGCGGGGACGAUGAUGACGGUACCCGCAGAAUAAGCCCCGGCUAACUUCGUG
rnacentral:rRNA from 1 species